GUCCAGGGUAGCCUAGUGGACAUAGCAUCUGCCCGGUAAGCGGAGCACUAUGGGUUCGAUUCCCAUACAUGGACA
rnacentral:tRNA from 1 species